GACGAACCGUGCGAACGUUAUUCGGAAUCACUGGGCUUAAAGCGCGUGUAGGCGGCCCGGCACGUCCGUCGCUGAAAUCCCCCGGCUCAACCGGGGAAGUGGCGUGGAUACGACCGGGCUGGAGGGGGGUAGGGGGAGCCGGAACUUCCGGUGGAGCGGUGAAAUGCGAUGAGAUCGGAAGGAACGCCCGUGGCGAAAGCGGGCUCCUGGACCCCACCUGACGCUGAGACGCGAAAGCCAGGGGAGCGAACGGG
rnacentral:rRNA from 1 species